CGGUAAGUUGUUCGACACGGUCGUUCCCACAUCAUCUUCUUUGAGCCUUAAUGACUCGUUUUUCGUCCCUCUUCCCUAUACGCAGGCGAAAUUGUGGCACGGAUUCCAACGUCACAGUGUCUCACUUGUGGAGGCUGCGCUCACCAAAAGUUAGUUGGCGACUUGGAAAUAUCUCUUGGGAAAGGAGAAUGGCUCGCCUUGCUCGGUUUCGCUUUGCUUCUGGAACGUGGGAUCGACGCAGGAAAAUCUUCAAGUUGGAACGCCUAUCUUAGGUACUUGCCAGCGGCCGAGCAAGGAGUGACGGCGUUGUGGCCAGAAAACAGGAAAAGAUAUCUCGCGGGGACAGACGUUGAUCUCGCCCUCCGAGAUGAGAGGGCACAAGCAAAAACAGAGUGG
rnacentral:lncRNA from 1 species